AAAAAUCUGUUUAUUGUUUGAAAGCAAUUUUUUGUUGGUUUUAUACUCUUUUGGAAGAAAAUGGGUAUAAGUGUUGUCUAAACACUCUUAAUCCAUCUCUAACUCUUAUAAUUAGUCAAAUGCAUAGGAUUGUGACACAUUUUGACCAUAGAAAUACUAACAAAGCCAUUUACUGAUUCUAAAGCAAUUUUUUGUUGGUUUUAUCCUCUUUUGGGAGAAAAUGGGUAUAAGUGUUGUCUAAACACUCCUAAUCUAUCUUUAACUCUUAUAAUUUGUCAAAGGCUUUGGAUUGUGACACAUUGUGACCAUAGAACCACAAACAAAGCGUUAUACUGAUUCUAAGCAAUUUUUUGUUGGUUUAAGCCUCUUUUGGGAUAGAAUAGGUAUAAGUGUUGUAUGAACACUCCGAAUCCAUCUCUAACUCUUAUAAUUAGUCAAAUGCAUUGGAUUGUGAAACAUUUUGACCAUAGAAAUACUAACAAAGCUAUAUACUGCUUCUAAGCAAUUUUUUGUUGGUUUAAGCCUCUUUUGGGAUAGAAUAGGUAUAAGUGUUGUAUGAACACUCCGAAUCCAUCUUUAACUCUUAUAAUUAGUCAAAUGCAUUGGAUUGUGACACAUUUUGACCAUAAAAAUACUAACAAAGUUGUUUACUGCUUCUAAAGCAAUUUUUUGUUGGUUUUAUCCUCUUUUGGGAGAAAAUGGGUAUAAGUGUUGUCUAAACACUUCUUAUCCAUCUUUAACUCUUAUAAUUAGUCAAAUGCAUUGGACUGUGACACAUUUUGACCAUAAAAACACUAACAAAACUGUUUAAUGCUUCUAAGCAAUUUUUUAUUGGUUUUAGCCUCUUUUGAGAGAAAAUGGGUAUAAGUAUUGUCUAAACACUCAUAAUCUAUCUUUAACUCUUAUAUUUAGUCAAAUACAUUGGAUUGUGACACAUUUUGACUAUAAAAACACUAACAAAACUUCUUACUGCUUCUAAGCAAUUUUUUGUUGGUUUAAGCCUCUUUUGGGAGAAAAUAGAUGUAAGUGUUGUAUGAACACUCCGAAUCCAUCUCUAACUGUUAUAAUUAGUCAAAUGAAUUGGAUUGUGAAACAUUUUGACCAUAGAAAUACUAACAAAGCCAUUUACUUAUUCUAAAGCAAC
rnacentral:sRNA from 1 species